rnacentral:rRNA from 1 species
UGGGGAAUAUUGGACAAUGGGGGCAACCCUGAUCCAGCGAUGCCGCGUGAGUGAAGAAGGCCCUCGGGUCGUAAAGCUCUUUAGGCCGGGACGAAGUGCGGUAGUUUAAGAGAUGACCGUGUUGACGGUACCGGCAGAAUAAGCACCGGCAAACUCUGUGCCAGCAGCCGCGGUAAUACAGAGGGUGCGAGCGUUAAUCGGAAUUACUGGGCGUAAAGGGCGCGUAGGCGGUUGUGCGAGUGUGGUGUGAAAGCCCCGGGCUUAACCUGGGAAGCGCAUCGCAAACGGCAUGACUAGAGUAGAUGAGAGGGUGGCGGAAUUUCCGGUGUAGCGGUGAAAUGCGUAGAGAUCGGAAGGAACGUCAAUGGCGAAGGCAGCCACCUGGCAUCAUACUGACGCUGAGGCGCGAAAGCGUGGGGAGCGAACAGG